GACGAACGCUGGCGGCGUGCUUAACACAUGCAAGUCGAACGGAAAGGCCCCGCUUUUGUGGGGUGCUCCAGUGGCGAACGGGUGAGUAACACGUGAGUAACCUGCCCUUGACUCUGGGAUAACCUCUGGAAACUGGGGCUAAUACUGGAUAGGAGCCUCUGCUGCAUGGUGGGGGUUUGAAAGUUUCGGCGGUUGGGGAUGGACUCGCGGCUUAUCAGCUUGUUGGUGGGGUAGUGGCUUACCAAGGCUUUGACGGGUAGCCGGCCUGAGAGGGUGACCGGCCACAUUGGGACUGAGAUACGGCCCAGACUCCUACGGGAGGCAGCAGUGGGGAAUAUUGCACAAUGGGCGGAAGCCUGAUGCAGCAACGCCGCGUGCGGGAUGACGGCCUUCGGGUUGUAAACCUCUUUCGCCUGUGACGAAGCGUGAGUGACGGUAAUGGGUAAAGAAGCACCGGCUAACUACGUG
rnacentral:rRNA from 1 species